UGUGAAAUUGCAGUUUAAGAAGAUGGAGAUUUUCUUUGUUUAGCUGACAGCCUGAGAGGAAGAAGCAACAUAAAGCUGCUUGACUUGUAGCCUGAGCACAUCUGUCUGGCUUCUUCUCAUGGUGUGCUAGACUUAUUGGUAUAUUCAGGUUUUGAGAUAAGAGAAGGCCUGGAUGACUACAUGUGCUUUAACACCCUUGUUAUGUCUCCCAAGAUAUUAGAUAAUUAAAGUAUCUUGCCAAGCUCUUCAGGUUGGAACUGAAACAGAGUUUUCUCUUAGCUCCUCUGAGCCAAUUUCUAGCAUCCUAUCAGAGAAAAACAACAGCAUCACAUGUGGGGUCAGGAAGAAGUUGCUAGCACUGAAAAGGAGUGCAGACCUUCACUGGACCCCCAGAAGCUGGACUAGGAUUUGGCUUGAGCCAGGACCAGGAAACCCCACUGAGUUGGACAUCUGGAAAUCAAUUUCACCCUUCAUGGCUAUGCAAACCACCUACAGUGCCCUUUGACAGCAGAUGAGUUUUAAGAGGAUCCCAAAGAGGAUUUGCACUGGCAAGGCAAAAUGACUUGUUUCAACCUUUUAGAGAUAACCUGUGGAGUAUUUGAGAAAAAUGGCUUAAGAAAUUUAGUCAGGAUAAAAUGUUCCACCUUGCUACGUUACAAGAGGACAAACCAUACACCUUACUCUUUCCUUUACAACUUGACUUUUCCAUCUCAGAUACAGACAGAUUCUUAUUUGCAACAAUGUAUUAAUAAC
rnacentral:lncRNA from 1 species